UUUUUUAUAGUUAAAUUAAAGGUCAAAGUUUGACCCAAAUAUAAUGGGACUAAUAACCAGAACGGAGGUAGUGGCAAUUAGCAGUUGGCUAUCGAUACGCUAUAGUGAUUACUCAUCAAACAACAGGCAGAUUCUUCUUUACACCAAAUGUAAUAUUGAUGUGCUUCUCUCCACUUCUCUUUGUAGCUUUUCACCUAUACUGUCGUUUCAUGUGCAGGAAUCGUCUGUCACUUCAUCUCCUUUCCAUUCUCUGUGAACAAAGGAAUCGUUGGUUUAAACAUAGGACAAGCCAACAAAAACGAUAGGAGGAAGAGAGAUAUUAUUACAAUGCAGUAAAGUAAAAAAAAAUGACGUCCAUCACGCAUUAGGUAUUUCUCACCACAAGCAGCUACUCCAGUAUUUGUAAGCUAAGGCAUUGGGUCUCUCAUCUGCAGUCUGCCCCCCUCUUGGAGACAAGCAAGAACCUCUGCAAACUGAAAGAAAGAAGGGAUGAUGAAGAAGGGGAAGUGGUCCAGGGAAGAGGAUGACUUUUUGAAAAAACACAUUGAGAAGUAUGGCAUUGGCCGUAGUUGGCAGGCAUUGGCUGAAACCCUAGGUUAGUUUUUUUGCUUUUGCCCAUCGUCUUCAUUCAACUGUUCAUAUUGGUACUAAGUUUACCUCCAUUAACUCCGAUAUAUGCCUUCAUUCAAAAUGAAAAGAAAGCUACUAAAUGUGACGCGGUUGUUUGUUUGGCUUGCAUAUGAUCUGUCUAAAAAGUUGCGCUUGUUAAUUUAGAAGAAAGAUUGGCCCAACUUAUAAGGUCUAGUCAGUUUUUCAUAGUCGCAGAAAAUGCUUACUUUGGUUUCUUUUCUAAUUUUCUCAGUUUUUUCUUACAUCAGAAUUUUCUCAGUUAUCUUAGAACUACUUUGGCACGUUUCUUAUCGAUUUUGUACUUGUUUUUCUGUGGAGAGUUCGGACAGAUAUCCUAGUGUUGUUCUUUGGCCCCUUUCCAUCAUAAAACCAGUAGCGUCCUGCACAGAAACAACUACCAUGCUCAUCCAUACUCUCAUUGUCACUCACCACUGUGGCUAAAGCAUGAUUUCUGAGGAUGUUGCUCAUGGAUUCGCAGGGCUUCAGCGUUGCGGCCGGGGUUGCCGAGCGCGGUGGCUGAACUACCUCCGGCCGGGACUGAAGCACGGCAACUUCACGCAGGCAGAGGAGAGCAUCAUCUGUGAGAUGUACAGCAAGAGGGGAAGCUGGUAAGUCCCGAAAAAUAAGCAUGUCCUGCUGCCAUUGCCUGCACGCAUCUCAGCUUCUGCUGCCUCUGCCCAACCAACGGUCACACCAAUGUCCAUCACCCCUUUUCCAGAUGUUCAAAUUAGCUGAACAUUGCUUGCGUGAUGCUUCUUGGCUUCUUGCUAUUGUGCUUCUUUAACCAAUCUGGCACUGCUUUGCUUGUCAUUGGAUCGAACAGCUGGUCCGUCAUCGCCGCCCAGCUCCCCGGGAGAACGGACCUCGCCGUCAAGAACUACUGGAACGGCACCAUCUCGAAGAGGUUCCACUGGGCGAGCAGCGCGGCGGCCGCGCGCCGCAGGCGCAGCGUCCACCGCCCCUCCUCCAGCACGACGUCGGACGCCACCAAGCCGGAGGAGCUCGCGCUGGUCGUCCACGGCGAGGGGAGCUCCACGACAGGAUCGUCAUGCUAUGCCGGCGGCUUCGUGGACGCCCGCGUCCUGGCCGGCUCACUGCCGCUCGUGCAAGCGCGGCCACCGCUGGCGGCCGGCGGCUGGAACGCGGCGAAAGAAGAGGUCGGUGAGACGGUGCCGAUUGAGAGGAAGCCGGCCGUGGCGCCUGCGCCUCUGCCAGAGAAUGACAUGGUCUGCGCCCCCAUGACUGUGAUUCCCCUGGCGUCCAUGGAGCCGGACGACAUGCCUUGGAUUGACGGUUUCGACGAGAUCGACAGCUUCCUGCCCUGGUUCGAUGACUAGUAAUCAAGUGGCAACGUAGGUAGAAUGGUUAUCGUCAAUGGUCGGCUCCUUGGUUCAGGAGCAGCCGCAAGAUUGUCAUGUACUGUUAAACAUUUACUGUGUUGUCUUCCGAAAAAGAUUUACCAUGUUGUUAGGGUUGGAUGGGAUAUGAGCGGAAAGGUAAUUCCCAUUUGAAUCAUAACUGGGCGUGGCCUCUCUGUUGAUGUGAUUCCUAGACAUUGCACAAGUUUCUUCAGUGAUGAUCAUCUUUUCUGACAGAGCAUUCUGGAAGCUCAAGGCUUAAUCUGUGCCCCUAGGAACCAGACCAUAUACUCAGUUCAGCCAGUGGUUGCAUAAAAGAACCGGAAACUGCACACGAAUCCAUCUGGCAACCGUGUCAGGCAUGAUCGAAACUCGUAGUUCUUUAACCAUGGGGCAUAGCUCACAUCAGAUUCAAGUACUAGAGUAUAGAGUAUACCUUGAACUUCGGAGCAUCAACGUGCAUCCAUAGGGACCUAAAAUCCAGAGCGUAGAUGGGGCUAGCUAACAGGAUCAUGAUGCUUCUCUUCUUGGGAUCAGCGAAUGCGUCAGCCCUGUACUGCUGACCUUGCCAUCAGAGGUUCAGAAGACCCCGGUUUCUUCUUGGAGUCCAUAUCUUAGCAGGACUUGCCAAGGCUUGGUUAGCACUUAACAAGGUGAGGACUAGGGAGAAAUGAAAUGACACAUUCGCACAAGAACACGAUACACUCAGAAUCAUUUGUUCAUCAUAGUCUUUUAGUAACAAGACAUGAUAUAGGAAGUGAACACUUCAGUGAUGAACUAGGAAAACAAGGAAACUUCAAGUAGAAGAGAUGAGGUUCUGUGAAUAGGGUAUACCUUUGCUACUUUCUAGUUUCCUUUUAACAAAGCGAAUAAAUGAACUGCAUGAUGUUCCAAUAUUUAGCAUAACUGCAAGAUAAUUUCAUCAACUCAAACUGUACUAUAGAGAUGCAUGAAACGACAUAUGGGCAGCAAAACGACGGCUGAACCGUCGGCUACAUGCUACAUAGGCCAACUGAUACCUUCAGGCACAGAUGGAUUACCUUUACAACGAUUGACCAUCUAGUUAGUUAGUUUCAGAAUGUUGCUAACAGGAAUAUACAACAAGGAACGAGCACAUCUAAUGAAGAAGAGAGAAUAUGCCCAGGCUAACCAUGAUAGUAGAGAUCUCACACACCAUGAACUUUAUGUAUAGAAGAGAAUUUGCCAAAACUGAAAGAUAAUGAACCAUUAGCUACUCGGCAGUUCCACUGAAACAAAUUUGCAGUUCGCAAAUUGAAACCGAAAAUGCCAAUUAAUAAACAGACCAGAUCAGAGGAGGUGUGUAUAGAUCAUACAAAUUCUUAUAGAUUGUACGUUUUAACAGCGAAUUUCAAGCAGUUCCAGGAAGUAUGGAAGACCAAAGACUACACAAAGCAAACAACUACUGUGUUUCUUCAUGGGCAGAAAGAGCGAUAUAUUUCCUUUUUCUAGGAGAAAAUAAGAAUAAUGUGAUCAUCCUUUUUCUCGUGAUAAUUAAUGUAACCUACUUUCCAAAAUAGUCACUGCAUUCUGCUAAUGUGUAACCUCAUGCUAUGCAGUCAGCAUGCAGCACAGUCAUAGAAUUAUAGCUUCAAAAUCAUUCCAAAUAUUCCAAUGUUAGAAGUGCCUCAACUACUGGUGAUAAGUACAAGAGAAGACGGUGUAAUACAAUUUACAGUCAUCUUAGCAUCAGCAUAGGAUUAUAACUUCAAAAUCAUUCCAAUGUUAGAAGUACCUCAACUACUGGUGGUAAGUACAAGAAAAAACGGUGUAAUACAAUUUAAAGUCAUCUUAGCAUCAGCCUGACAUUUACAGAUACAUCUCAGGUUUAUCACAUUGGAUAACUAUGUGAUUAUAACCUUUGAUUUGAGUGCUGAAAGCAUCAACAUAACAUCACAUGACUUAUGGAGCAUCCAUGCACAAGUUAAUGACCAAUAAUAAAACCUCCAACUGCCCAAAAAAGAAAGUUAAAUAUGUCUUAGUAUUGCUCAAUCUGUUUUCCCCUACAUGUCAGAAUCACCAUCUUAGUUAUUACCCGAGAAAAAGUAUACAAUACAUCAUCUCCGUUUACCAUUCAGCCAAAAACUGUGUGGUUCUAAGAUGUCCCUAUAUUACACUCUAAGGUUGAGCAAUCUGAUGGCGAUUUCUGGCACGUAACCAAAAUGCCGAAGCAAUCAAAAGAACCUUCCUAUCUCACAACACAUUCUAAUUACCCAUGUACUGUAACGAACCAAAAGAAGAGGGGUUGGGAGCACACCUGCUUCAAGAACCCCUACGACUAGUCAGAUCCUUUGUUGCGACUCAAUCACUAAUGCAUUGAGCAUGAUAUGCAUGACAGCAUCAUAGACCACGCCGUUGUAAUGCAUCCCGUCAGCUGUGCAUUGCUGCUCACAUCCCCGGGUGAGCUUUCCCACAUCGAGCAGCCGGAAUGGGCCACCAUCACGGCGCAAGAUACACCUCUCAUCAACCUCACGGUCAUAGGCUUGCAGCAUUGUGUCGUUCAUAUGCUCUUUCUUGGCAUCAGUGUUGAGCAUAGGGUUGACAAGCCGCGGCAGGCCGAGCCAGAACAUGUGUGGAGGUGGCACUGGGAGCGGCGAGCGGAGAGAGUUGGCCGCAUCAGCAAUGGACGCCAAUGCGUCGCCGUAUUGCGAGGCUUCCGUGACAUGGAGCAUGUGCCAGAGGCCGGAUCCGAGCACGAGCACGUCGGGGGUGCGCGGCGCCAGGCGGAGAUCCUCGCGGAGCAGACGCAUGAGGUUGCUCUCGAAGGGCGCCCAUAUGAAAUCCACGGAGAUGCCCCGCGCCGGCACGGCAGCGUGGUAGUCGCUGUGGCGGCGGAACAGCUCCGGCUCCGCGGCCGCUGCGGCGGCCGGGUCGAGCAGGAGGCGCAGCAGCGCGAGCACGAGCAGGCGCGCCUGCGAGUCGCCCGCCACCAUGACCCAGGAGCCGUUGAGCAGGGUCGAGGCGUCGUCCCGCGUCAGCCGCGCGAAGCCGCAGGUGGCGGCGAGCGAGGGCGGCCACGACCAGGCGCGGCCCCCGCCGUGGGGCUCGGCGUCCGCCCACGACACGCGGUGCAGGACGGAGAUGCAGGAGGCGGAGGAGGAGGAGGACGGGGCCGCGGGGCGGAUGGGGUGGAAAGAGGAGACGAGGAGGUGGGGCAGCGAGGGGAGGUACGGGGAGAGGUGGACCCCGACGGCCAGGGAGACGAAGAGCGCGCCGGAGAAGAAGAGCACCUUGUUGCGGCUGAGGUGCCAGCCGGCGAGCCCCAUGGGGACGAAGAGCACCACGCACGCCGCCAGCACGCCCACCUGCGCCGCGGCGGAAACCAUGGACCGGCCUGGCCGGCCCUCCCCGCAGGACCGAGUGCACGAGCGAGGCCGACGCCGAGGUCCACCAGAUCUGGGCCGAGGAGCGGGGCGGCAGGAGGUUGGGCGAGCGAGCGAGCGAUCGGCGCGAGAAGUAGGGUCGCCGCGUGGUGUGGGUUGGUGGCGCGGUGGUGGGGUUGGGGUUGGGUGCGAGGUGGGAAGGAGGAAGGGGAGGGGGGAGGUCGGCGGGAUGGGAACAGCGGAGCGGCAGGCGGGUGGCUCCGGCGCUUUCUGAGGCGGUGAGGUGCGUCGCGCCGGCGUGGAUCCGGUCCAGAAGAAAAGAAAGCGCUGCCCGGCUCGGGCUUUCUUUUUUUCUUUUCUUUUUCUGUGUGUCGGUUAUGAAAAAAAUAAAGAAUGUUAUUUUCCAGUGUGCUUCGUGUCGUUAAUCACUGACGCAAACAGCAAGUCAAAUAUACUCCCUCCACAAAGAAAUAUAAGAGCAUUUGAUGGUACUCUUCGAUGUAUGUUAACCAGGAGCAUCACAUGUUUUCGCUGAUAAUCUUCUCCGGGUGGUACUCCAGCCUUGUGGUUCCACUCUCUUCGUUUACAAGCAGAUCGUACCCCGAUCCACCUAUCAUUUUCGCCCACGCUUGAUUAGGAGUGAUACCAGAAGCCCACGACCGCGAUGUCAACCUCAAGUGGCGAAGCUAAGCAACGCAACGAAUUAAUGUCUCGCCAGAUGUUAGAUCGUGUCGUAACCAUCAUUAAGAGCAUCUGUAACCGGAUUUUGGCAAAUCUGAUCUUCAAACCUUCCCGACGCGCAAGGUCAUGCUUUAAAUAUUUGAUUCUAUAACCGGAUAUCUUAAAUUAUAAACCUAAAAUCCAUAUUAUUACAUGCAACAUAUAAAAUAUGGUACGUCAUUGACGUACUCUUGAAAAAAACAUGCAACAUAAACCAAUCUUUAAGCGGAGCUCAUCCGGCUUUGCCGUAUCCAUGUCUAGCGGGCGGCUGCACUCCCUAGAGUGUUGGUCCGCUCGCCGGCAAGGUAGAGUAGGACAUUGUCACGAGCCGGCUCACGGAACACAGGGAGCCGCCGUCUCCCAUGCCCUACUCUUUCUCGUCGGAGCCCGGAACCCGGACGGUGCCGGUAGACGUCGGGUCUAUGAUGGAUCCGUCCUGAGAUGUGCCGGCGGCAUCCACCAUGACGCGGUUGCGACGCCCGGACUGGCGCAUCAUACGGGGCGUCGGAGAAUGCGACUCCACCUUGCCGACGUCCACUGCCGCGAGGGAUGCUGCCACCUCCCGCGCCCGCUGCCUCGCACGGCGGGCACGUUGUGCCAUGUUUACGGGGACGGUGUCCAUGGUGCGUUCAUAGCCCCGUGCACCAACAGAGGGGUUGCGCGUCCGUCAUCGCGUUCGGACACCAGACGAGCUGCAAUGCCUCUGGGAAGGCAGUGAUGGCGCACCUAGCACCGGACCCAUGCGUCAUUUGGACGGAUGCAAUGGAUUCCUAAUGGAAGGAGUCCAAGCGCUGCCUCGCACGGGCCCCCUCCCGGGAGCGACGGAGCACAAGCCGCGUGGGAUGAGCUCGGGGUCGACGAAUAUGAAGGUGUAGGACUCGGAUCCGCUGUUCGCCAUACUGGAGAAGGCCGAAGAUCGCCGUACGGGAGCUUAGGUGGCGGAGGGGAGUGGAGGAAGUGGAGUGAAGUGAAGUGGGUAGGGUUUGGUCCGACGAGCGGAUAGGGAGGAAUAUAUGUGGGCUCGGGGACGACACGGCGGACGCGCCCAGGUGCUCCAUAUCUGCCCCAGAUUUGAACUGGAUAUGAGGGGUGUCGGUCAACCCAGGCGUUUGAGGCGUACGUCUAGAUCAUAUAUUUAUUUGUUACCGGGUCAACCGCCCGGACGUUUGACAGGUUUAGGGCUCUCGGUUGUAGAUGCUCUAAGGACCUCUUUUCAUUCAUAGGAUGAGAAGGAAAUAUGUAAACCUAUCUGUGGUUAGGGCUGUAGAUGCUCUAAAGACCUCUUUUCAUUCAUAGGAUGAGAAGGAAAUAGGUAAACCUAUCUGUGGUUAGGAGGACAUUAUCCGUCGGAGUUCAAGUCUUAUAUUUAGACAUUAGUGCUCGUAUUUUUUAAAUUUACUUCAGGGUUUAUGUCAGCUCAAUUUUUCAAAGGUGUUCAUAGAGAUAGAGUGUCUGCGGGCAUCAUACAGAUGAGUGCAUAUGCAUAUGCCUUAGCAUCAGCGUGUGUACUAUGCCAAAAAGGACAGAAUUAAAAUGUUACAGUUGUCUCAAUUAUACAUCAUUUUCAUAGAAAAUGAAGAUAUAUACAUCAUUUUGGGUGUUUGAUUGCAUCAUAGAAAAACAAAGUAUUUUUUUCAGAAAUUUUAGGUGUUUGAUUGCAUCAUAGAAAAACAAAGUAAUUUUUCUGAAAGAUUUGAGUGUAUGCUUCAAGAUCCUAUGAGAAAAAGUUAAAAGAAGUCUUUGGAAAAAAUUUCUAUAGGACUCAAUCCUAUGAAUCAAACAAUCAACGUAUGCCAAAAUUUCAUAAAAAUUCCUAUGAUGAAUCAAAGGAGCCCUAAGGUUUGAUACAGUCGUGUCGUGUGAACUAUUCUUGCCAACAAUCACCCCUGUUCUACUGAGUUCAGCAUUCAGCUCGCGACAGUGAUUCAUCGACAGUUCUGAACUCUGGAUUCGUCAAACAAACCGCCGUAGGAGGGCUCUAAUCUAACGAACAGUGGUUCAUCAACGGUUAUAAACUCCGCAUUCAACAUACUAGACAGUAUAAACAAACGGCCUAAUGUUAGAAGCGUGCAGGGACAGACAUCGCCAGUGGUCAGAGCAGAACACAUGAUUCAAUCCAAUGCGAGAUGAACACCCAUAUUAGAAUCUGGAACUCAUUACAAGCACCAGCACGCAGCUGCACACGCACACACAGGACAAGCACACCACAGAACGACGACCCGCCUAACCACAUCUAAAUCCCACGCGAGGCACGAACCGCGCUCAG
rnacentral:lncRNA from 1 species